CAAUAGCGCGCAGAGCAGCCUGAUUCUACUGAUCCUCUUCUGGCCAAUGGGCGCUGCGCUCCUCCUGCUCACAUGACGCGCCUUUCUGUGCGCUCUCCUCUCCUCUCAGCGCUCAAUCCCGGCGAGUGCAGGCAUCACUGAAGACCUGACACCGGCGGAAUCGGACGUCUGACUGACUGACUUGUCCUCGGCAGAAUUAAACCCAGGUGUUUAUCUUUUACGCAAAACUUGUAUCGCCAUCAUGAUGAAGCUGAACCGUCUCCUGUCCGGUGAGAGUGAGCGCGCUUCAGCCGGAGAGGAAGAGACUUUUUGUCCGUCUCCAAGCGCCCGGAGAGGCGCAUGCAGGGCUCGAGACAAUAGCGCCCAGAAGAACUUAUUGAAAUGAAUCUAGCUGGCACGAGAAGAAGAAACUGAACGAGUGCUAGCAGCGUUGGCCUUCACCGCAGAGGGAAGCAGAAGAGCAAACGAGGAAAAGCUGAGCGAUGAAAGAGAGGUCCAGACAUGAAGGAGGCACGCAUUCACACACACACAUGUGAAGGCACCUAGAGUCUGUCUGCGGUCUACCACACACACACGCACACAUGCCCGUUACGGGCAGCAGAUAAAGAGGGAGACGCCAUUCCAGCUGUGAGGAGACAGAAGAAGUCAACACACACACAUACACACACACAGAGCCGGAGGCGUGCGAGCAGGUGAGCAUUAAGUCAGGCAGCUAAACAGAUCACGUCGCGGUAUGAUAUCUGCAGACAGGCAGACAGAGGAGGCCGGUCUGUACCUGCAGGCAGAGAGCAACAACUCACAGCACCCUCGCCAGGAAUUUCCUCCCCCUCCAAAAAGAGAGAGAGGAGUGAGAGACAUAAACUGGGGUUUCCACUGAAGUGUUUUUAUGAAAACCAAAUAGUUAAAGUCUAUUUGGAAACUGGCUGGCAGAUUUAGUUUUUAUUCACAUGUUUUUCAGACACCUUCAAUGUGACAAAAUAUUUGAUUAAAGCAGUAGAGACAUAUUUAUAAUGAAAUAAUGAGGCCUGUAUUUCAACCCAACAUUUUUUGUUGUUGUUUCUCCAGUAUAAAGUGCAGUAAAAACUUUUAAUAACAUUAAAUAUUACUAACAUUAGCUAACAAUAAAGAACAUUAAUGUCAUUGCUCAGUUCAUCACUGUCUUGACUGUAACAUUUUCAGUAGUUUUUAUUUUUAUUGAGAUUUAGAUUGUAGAUUUCAGCUCAUGUGUAGCCAGUUUUGCAGCUACAUUUGCAGUUUUAUCUCUGGACAUAUAUAUAUAUAUAUAUAUAUGUAUGUGUAUAAAUUAACUUAUUAACUAUUUAUCUUUUUAAAAUCUUUUUAGCAUGCAAUUUUCAUAUUCAACCUAGUCCAUGAUUUAAAAAAAAAAAAAAAAUUGACUCUUAAAUGCAUUUUUUUAGUUUCAUAGUUUUGCAUGCCUAAAAUGAUCCGUAUGGAGUGAUGAUACUAGAGGACAGUGAGAUGGAGGAGUAGAGGAUAGUCCUAUGUAGACAAGAAGUUGCACAAAAACUGCCCCAAUAUGUCGCCUCUUUGGUCGUAUUGUCAGCCCAACAUUCUCCCUUCAUCUCAGUAGAUGAAAGGAUAUCCUUUGACAUUAAUAAAGAAGUUCACACGCUACUGUAA